rnacentral:rRNA from 1 species
CACGUAGGGUGCGAGCGUUGUCCGGAAUUAUUGGGCGUAAAGAGCUCGUAGGCGGUGUGUCGCGUCGGCCGUGAAAACCUGCAGCUUAACUGUGGGCUUGCGGUCGAUACGGGCAUCACUGGAGUUCGGCAGGGGAGACUGGAAUUCCUGGUGUAGCGGUGAAAUGCGCAGAUAUCAGGAGGAACACCAGCGGCGAAGGCGGCGCGCUGGGCUGGCACUGACACUGAGGAGCGAAAGCGUGGGGAGCGAACAGG